GGGGCUGUGGCUCAGUGCUAGGGCAUCUGCUUUGCAAGCUGGGAGUCUCAGGUUCACUUCCUGGCAUCUCCA
rnacentral:tRNA from 1 species